rnacentral:rRNA from 1 species
ACUCCUACGGGAGGCAGCAGUGGGGAAUUUUGGACAAUGGGGCAACCCUGAUCCAGCAAUGCCGCGUGUGUGAAGAAGGCCUUCGGGUUGUAAAGCACUUUUGUCCGGAAAGUAAAUCGCGCAUGGUUAAUACCUGGCGUGGAUGACGGUACCGGAAGAAUAAGCACCGGCAUAACUACGUGCCAGCACCGCGGUAAUACGUAGGGUGCGAGCGUUAAUCGGAAUUACUGGGCGUAAAAGCGUGCGCAGGCGGUUUUGUAAGACA